GAUAAACGCUGGCGGCGCACAUAAGACAUGCAAGUUGAACGGACUUAAUCGAAAUAUUUAUAUUUUGAAGCGGUUAGUGGCGGACUGGUGAGUAACGCGUAAGGAACCUGCCUAUUGGAGGGGAAUAACAGUGAGAAAUCAUUGCUAAUACCGCAUAUGCCAUAGAUAUCACAUGAUAACAGUGGGAAAGGAGCAAUCCGCUAAUAGAUGGCCUUGCGUCUGAUUAGAUAGUUGGUGGGGUAACGGCCUACCAAGUCGACGAUCAGUAGCCGGACUGAGAGGUUGAACGGCCACAUUGGGACUGAGAUACGGCCCAGACUCCUACGGGAGGCAGCAGUCGGGAAUAUUGCGCAAUGGAGGAAACUCUGACGCAGUGACGCCGCGUAUAGGAAGAAGGUUUUCGGAUUGUAAACUAUUGUCGUUAGGGAAGAGAAAGGACAGUACCUAAGGAGGAAGCUCCGGCUAACUACGUG
rnacentral:rRNA from 1 species